rnacentral:rRNA from 1 species
UACGAAGGUCCCGAGCGUUGUUCGGAAUCACUGGGCGUAAAGGGAGCGUAGGCGGCGCGGUAAGUCAGAUGUGAAAUCCCGGGGCUCAACCCCGGAACUGCAUCCGAUACUGCCGUGCUAGAGGAUUGGAGAGGUAGCUGGAAUUCUUGGUGUAGCAGUGAAAUGCGUGGAGAUCAAGAGGAACACUCGUGGCGAAAGCGGCACUCUGGGCUGGUACUGACGCUGAGGAGCGAAAGCGUGGGUAGCAAACAGG